GGGUUGUGAGGUUAAGCGACCAAGCGUACACGGUGGAUGCCCUGGCAGUCAGAGGCGAUGAAGGACGUGCUAAUCUGCGAAAAGCGCCGGUAAGGUGAUAUGAACCGUUAUAACCGGCGAUGUCCGAAUGGGGAAACCCAGUGUGACUCGUCACACUAUCAUUAACUGAAUCCAUAGGUUAAUGAGGCGAACCGGGGGAACUGAAACAUCUAAGUACCCCGAGGAAAAGAAAUCAACCGAGAUUCCCCCAGUAGCGGCGAGCGAACGGGGAGCAGCCCAGAGCCUGAAUCAGCAUAUGUGUUAGUGGAAGCGUCUGGAAAGGCGCGCGAUACAGGGUGACAGCCCCGUACACAAAAGCGCAUAUGCUGUGAGCUCGAUGAGUAGGGCGGGACACGUGGUAUCCUGUCUGAAUAUGGGGGGACCAUCCUCCAAGGCUAAAUACUCCUGACUGACCGAUAGUGAACCAGUACCGUGAGGGAAAGGCGAAAAGAACCCCGGCGAGGGGAGUGAAACAGAACCUGAAACCGUGUACGUACAAGCAGUGGGAGCAUGAGUUUACUCAUGUGACUGCGUACCUUUUGUAUAAUGGGUCAGCGACUUAUAUUCUGUAGCAAGGUUAACCGUAUAGGGGAGCCGGAGGGAAACCGAGUCUUAACCGGGCGUUAAGUUGCAGGGUAUAGACCCGAAACCCGGUGAUCUAGCCAUGGGCAGGUUGAAGGUUGGGUAACACUAACUGGAGGACCGAACCGACUAAUGUUGAAAAAUUAGCGGAUGACCUGUGGCUGGGGGUGAAAGGCCAAUCAAACCGGGAGAUAGCUGGUUCUCCCCGAAAGCUAUUUAGGUAGCGCCUCGUGAAUUCAUCUCCGGGGGUAGAGCACUGUUUCGGCCAGGGGGCCAUCCCGGCUUACCAACCCGAUGCAAACUGCGAAUACCGGAGAAUGUUAUCACGGGAGACACACGGCGGGUGCUAACGUCCGUCGUGAAGAGGGAAACAACCCAGACCGCCAGCUAAGGUCCCAAAGUCAUGGUUAAGUGGGAAACGAUGUGGGAAGGCCCAGACAGCCAGGAUGUUGGCUUAGAAGCAGCCAUCAUUUAAAGAAAGCGUAAUAGCUCACUGGUCGAGUCGGCCUGCGCGGAAGAUGUAACGGGGCUAAACCAUGCACCGAAGCUGCGGCAGCGACACUAAGUGUUGUUGGGUAGGGGAGCGUUCUGUAAGCCUGCGAAGGUGGCCUGUGAGGGUUGCUGGAGGUAUCAGAAGUGCGAAUGCUGACAUAAGUAACGAUAAUGCGGGUGAAAAACCCGCACGCCGGAAGACCAAGGGUUCCUGUCCAACGUUAAUCGGGGCAGGGUGAGUCGACCCCUAAGGCGAGGCCGAAAGGCGUAGUCGAUGGGAAACGGGUUAAUAUUCCCGUACCUGGUGUUACUGCGAAGGGGGGACGGAGAAGGCUAUGUUGGCCGGGCGACGGUUGUCCCGGUUUAAGCGUGUAGGCUGGUUUUCCAGGCAAAUCCGGAAAAUCAAGGCUGAGGCGUGACGACGAGGCACUACGGUGCUGAAGCAACAAAUGCCCUGCUUCCAGGAAAAGCCUCUAAGCCUCAGGUAACAUCAGAUCGUACCCGAAACCGACACAGGUGGUCAGGUAGAGAAUACCAAGGCGCUUGAGAGAACCCGGGUGAAGGAACUAGGCAAAAUGGUGCCGUAACUUCGGGAGAAGGCACGCUGACACGUAGGUGAAGCGGUUUACCCGUGAAGCUGAAGUCAGUCGAAGAUACCAGCUGGCUGCAACUGUUUAUUAAAAACACAGCACUGUGCAAACACGAAAGUGGACGUAUACGGUGUGACGCCUGCCCGGUGCCGGAAGGUUAAUUGAUGGGGUCAGCGCAAGCGAAGCUCCUGAUCGAAGCCCCGGUAAACGGCGGCCGUAACUAUAACGGUCCUAAGGUAGCGAAAUUCCUUGUCGGGUAAGUUCCGACCUGCACGAAUGGCGUAAUGAUGGCCAGGCUGUCUCCACCCGGGACUCAGUGAAAUUGAACUCGCUGUGAAGAUGCAGUGUACCCGCGGCAAGACGGAAAGACCCCGUGAACCUUUACUAUAGCUUGACACUGAACACUGGUCCUUGAUGUGCAGGAUAGGUGGGAGGCUUUGAAGUGUGGACGCCAGUCUGCAUGGAGCCGUCCUUGAAAUACCACCCUUUAAUGGCUGGUGUUCUAACGUAGACCCGUGAACCGGGUUGCGGACAGUGUCUGGUGGGUAGUUUGACUGGGGCGGUCUCCUCCUAAAGCGUAACGGAGGAGCACGAAGGUUGGCUAAUCCUGGUCGGACAUCAGGAGGUUAGUGCAAUGGCAUAAGCCAGCUUGACUGCGAGCGUGACGGCGCGAGCAGGUGCGAAAGCAGGUCAUAGUGAUCCGGUGGUUCUGAAUGGAAGGGCCAUCGCUCAACGGAUAAAAGGUACUCCGGGGAUAACAGGCUGAUACCGCCCAAGAGUUCAUAUCGACGGCGGUGUUUGGCACCUCGAUGUCGGCUCAUCACAUCCUGGGGCUGAAGUAGGUCCCAAGGGUAUGGCUGUUCGCCAUUUAAAGUGGUACGCGAGCUGGGUUUAGAACGUCGUGAGACAGUUCGGUCCCUAUCUGCCGUGGGCGCUGGAGAACUGAGGGGGGCUGCUCCUAGUACGAGAGGACCGGAGUGGACGCAUCACUGGUGUUCGGGUUGUCAUGCCAAUGGCACUGCCCGGUAGCUAAAUGCGGAAGAGAUAAGUGCUGAAAGCAUCUAAGCACGAAACUUGCCCCGAGAUGAGUUCUCCCUGAGACUACAAGUCUCCUGAAGGAACGUUGAAGACGACGACGUUGAUAGGCCGGGUGUGUAAGCGCAGCGAUGCGUUGAGCUAACCGGUACUAAUGAACCGUGAGGCUUAACCUUACAACGCCGAAG
rnacentral:rRNA from 1 species